rfam:Ixodes scapularis strain Wikel colony gcontig_1108379212362, whole genome shotgun sequence.
CCGUGGUUAGCUCAGUUGGUAGAGCGCUCCACUUGUAAUGGAGAGGUCCCGGGUUCGAUACCCGGACCAGGCG